UACGUAGGGUGCAAGCGUUGUCCGGAAUUAUUGGGCGUAAAGAGCUCGUAGGCGGUUUGUCGCGUCUGCUGUGAAAACUCGGGGCUCAACUCCGAGCUUGCAGUGGGUACGGGCAGACUAGAGUGCGGUAGGGGAGACUGGAAUUCCUGGUGUAGCGGUGGAAUGCGCAGAUAUCAGGAGGAACACCGGUGGCGAAGGCGGGUCACUGGCCCGAUACUGACGCUGAGGCACGAAAGCGUGGGGAGAAAACAGG
rnacentral:rRNA from 1 species